rnacentral:tRNA from 1 species
AAAGGGAGACCUAAUUCAGGUAGGAGACGAAAAAAAAGUAGUCGCUACCAAGAAUCAAUCCCAAAAGGUCGGAGCGAGGCGAAAUUGGCUUUCAAACUAGGUUCUGGGUUCAAACAAGACCUGAAUCGGGAACAAGGGCUAUUAGCUCAGGUGGUUAGAGCGCACCCCUGAUAAGGGUGAGGUCCCUGGUUCGAGUCCAGGAUGGCCCACCUGCACAGGUGGCAAAAACAAGAGAAGCGAGGAAUCAGCACCUUAUCUUAUUUAUAUAGUAAGAGAGAAUGCUGGCUCUGAGUUCAGAGUCCAGAGGAACCUUGAAAACUGCAUAGAGCUAGGUGAAAAAGCCAAAAAAGAAGACCGCAAGGUCAAGCUAAUAA